rnacentral:rRNA from 1 species
UACGUAGGGUGCAAGCGUUAAUCGGAAUUACUGGGCGUAAAGCGUGCGCAGGCGGUUUGUAAGUCUGUCGUGAAAUCCCCGGGCUCAACCUGGGAAUUGCGAUGGAGACUGCAAGGCUAGAAUCUGGCAGAGGGGGGGUAGAAUUCCACGUGUAGCAGUGAAAUGCGUAGAGAUGUGGAGGAACACCGAUGGCGAAGGCAGCCCCCUGGGGUCAAGAUUGACGCUCAUGCACGAAAGCGUGGGGAGCAAACGA